rnacentral:rRNA from 1 species
GACGUAGGGGGCCAGCGUUGUUCGGAAUUACUGGGUGUAAAGGGUUCGUAGGCGGUGCGGCAAGUUGGGAGUGAAAUCUCUGGGCUUAACCCAGAGGCUGCUUCCAAAACUGCUGUGCUUGAGUGUGGGAGAGGCGCGUGGAAUUGCAGGUGUAGCGGUGAAAUGCGUAGAUAUCUGCAGGAACACCCGUGGCGAAGGCGGCAUCCUGGACCGAUAUUGACGCUGAGGAGCGAAAGCUAGGGGAGCAAACGGG